GACGAACGCUGGCGGCGUGCUUAACACAUGCAAGUCGAACGGAAAGGCCCUGCUUUUGUGGGGUGCUCGAGUGGCGAACGGGUGAGUAACACGUGAGUAACCUGCCCUUGACUUUGGGAUAACUUCAGGAAACUGGGGCUAAUACCGGAUAGGAGCUCUUGCUGCAUGGUGGGGGUGGGAAAGAUUCGGCGGUUUGGGAUGGACUCGCGGUUUAUCAGCUUGUUGGUGGGGUAGUGGCUUACCAAGGCUUUGACGGGUAGCCGGACUGAGAGGGUGACCGGCCCCAAUGGGACUGAGGUACGAGCCAGACUCCUACGGGGGGCAGGGGUGGGAAAUAUUGCAAACUGGGCGGAAGCCUGGUGCAGCGACGCCGCGUGCGGGAUGACGGCCUUCGGGUUGUAAACCGCGUUCGCCUGUGACGAAGCGUGAGUGACGGUAAUGGGUAAAGAAGCACCGGCUAACUACGUG
rnacentral:rRNA from 1 species